AACUUCUGAAUGUUGACCUCGGAUCAGGUAGGAAUACCCGCUGAACUUAAGCAUAUCAAUAAGCGGGAGGA
rnacentral:rRNA from 2 species